AAUUACCUCAAAUGAAAAGUUACCUCGCCAUUAUUGCUCAAAAGACUGGAAGGAGUCCUGUGGAGGAUUUAGAUUCCUCCUCUUUUGAGAAGUGCAACUGAUUGAAGUUAUAAAGGGCUCUGGGGUGUUUUGCCAGGCAGAAGUGUGGAAAGCAGCCCUCCUUGCCACCUCUGCUACUGCCAUGGUGUGGAAUCUGCUGCUGGGCACAUUUGAUCUGGAGACUUUGCUGAAAAACAACCUGAAUGGUGGGAAGCCAACCAGAGGGGAUGGGGAGCAGCUGGUCGCCCUUGACCAAAUUAAAAAGGCAUCAUUAUUGAUGCUACAUUGAAGAAGUGGCCGUCAGCCAGCCGAGGGGAGAUGGGCACGUCUAUCAAUUCAAAGCUCGUGGAGCUGAGAAGAUCAAAAAGAUUUUUU